UACGUAGGGUGCGAGCGUUACUCGGAAUUGCUGGGCGUAAAGCGUGCGCAGGCGGUUCGUUGUGUCGGCGGUGAAAGCCCCGGGCUCAACCUGGGAAUGGCCGUUGAAACUGGCGAACUGGAGUGUGGCAGAGGGGGGUGGAAUUCCGCGUGUAGCAGUGAAAUGCGUAGAGAUGCGGAGGAACACCGAUGGCGAAGGCAGCCCCCUGGGCUGACACUGACGCUCAGGCACGAAAGCGUGGGGAGCAAACAGG
rnacentral:rRNA from 1 species